ACAGUCUUGCAUGAAUGGUUGCACACCAAGACACCGAGAAAUUGUCCCUUCUUAACCACCCACUUCUCUUCUAGCGUUGGAACAGGCUCCCUGUCUGUCCCUGUUUCAGUUUCAUCUGGUGGGUCUGGAAGACGGAUUGGAUUAUCAGUUUCCCAGUUAGGCUCGGCAUCCCACUUCGGCUCCGUAUCCCACUUCGGCUCAGAGUCCCAAAUUGGUCCUGGAUCAGACAUAGUUGAGGAUAUGUCUUCUUUAUCAUUCAGCGCUGUGGCUCCG
rnacentral:misc_RNA from 1 species